AGAAGAUGAUCUUUAAUCUAUUGAGGUACCACAAUAUGAAAAAAUAAAUCUGCAAUGAAUGUUACUUUCAGAAGAGACGAUGAACAGGGAUAAGCUGUUUCAUUGAGCGCCCCCUUUUGGCCUGGAGCACUUCCCGUGUGGUGUGUGGAUUUGCAGUGUUUUGUCUUGCUCAGGGAGGAGGCUCCCUCCACAGGGACGGUAGGUCUCUGAGGCCAAGAGGCCCCGGCAGGCGUGUGGCUCGCCACCGUGCUUUGGUUCAGGGGACAGCUGUGUCGCGCUGCACUGCUUGGCCCUGUGCCCUGGAGCAGCAGCUGCCAUAAACAAACAGCACUGAAAGCUACUGGCCCAGUCCCCAGCUCUAUUCAAGAUGGCCGACCUUUGCCCAGCUUGGUCCAUUAAGUUGGAACAGAUUUUAACAACACUUUGGAGAGUUGAUCCGGUAAAGAAAUGUGGUCCGAUCUGUUCAAAACAAGCGGAAUAAAAAGGAAUGAGGACAAAGUGGCUGCCAA